UUGAAGGUAAACUAAGUCAAGUUGAUUUAUUGUUAAUAAAUUCAUAUUAUAAAAUUAUUUUUCAAG
rnacentral:tRNA from 1 species